rnacentral:lncRNA from 1 species
CUUUUUUUGUGGUUCCGAUCGAAGUGUUGUACUGUACCGCCACCACAUUUCAAAAUGGCGGACGGUGCAUGGUGUCCUCGUCCGAGCAGAAAAUGGUGUCCAUGAUUUGACCUGUUAAUCUCUGUAGUUGCUUUUAGCAUUUAUCUCUUUUAUACAAUAAUGUUUUGAGUGCUGCUCUUGAAUUUGGUGGACAUGGGGCCAUGGUUUGGGACAGUAUUCUUCACUCCCUACGUAGCUUCGGAUGCAUCGCGAUAUUUUUAUUCCGCUGAAAUCAAAUGAAGAGCUUGAUAGUUGGAUACCAUAGGCAUGCCAUAGGUUUGGGAUUUGUAGUCAUGAUCCAGAAAAACCCUUGCCCUUAUUUUGAGUACCAAAGAUGGUCCCGUUUUCUGAAAAUGGCACGAUGGAGGCUGCAAUCACUAGUAAAUCGUUUCAAUGCUGUUUUACGACAUGGUACUUUUGCAAAGAGUUCAGAACUUCAGAAAACGACCGUUUUGCCAUGAAGAAAAGAAGGCUACUGGGAUUCCACUCAUUGAAUUGGAUCUAAACAACACGGCUUUUAUUUGAGCUUGCGGUAAAUCUUAAAAGGAAUUUAUGAAAUCUCAAAGAUGGGUUACAGAUGCGAAAUCGGGACAGUUUUCUGCUUUUAGUACUGUGAUGGAGCAAAGGACUCCCAAGGAGAAAUCCUAUGAAUUGGAAGAAGAUUGAGUCGCAGAUGCAUGAUGCUUCCUUUUUCAGCGGAGGACUUAAUUUCGUUGAGGAAGAAUAAAUCCUUAUACUAGUAGACGGCUAUGAGGAUUGGUACGCUUGCCAUUGUUAACUUGGAUUUCAAUGAUAAAGGUUCAAACAUAAUCAGUGCCUUUCGAAACCUCUAGUGCCUGGCGGAACUGCUGCGUUUUAUUCAGCUGUGGAUGAAGAAGAUGAUUCAUUUCUGGGACAAGAAGUCGACGUUCUAGCUGCUGAAGUUGAUUUCGUCACAUUGAUGCUGGAGAGCGGAGACGCUGAAAAAGUGAUGCGAUAAGGUCUUCUGGGCGAUUACAGUUUGCAGAGGAUUUUUCUGUGUCGUCGUAUAGGAGGAAAGCAGUUGACGAUGAAAAUCGCAAAAGUUAGGCAUUGGUUUCAGUCAUCUUUUUUUCUAGGUAACUGUACUUGUAUAAAGCAACCAAGUCCAAGAAAGCAGAGACAAGCAACCUCAAAGACAUCGUAAGGUUACACCAGAGUCAUAGAUUACAUGAUUCGAGAAUACCAUGUAAAUAAGCCACGCUCCACGUCACUUUUUGCGAACCUUGCUCCCUCCGAAACUGCUGCACCAAGUGGAUUUUGACUAGGAAAGGAUACCCUUUUGCAUUGUAGUGCAUCAGGCCUCCGGAAAAAAUAUGCUCACAUUGUAAAAAAUUGGGUUCGCGAAGAGUGACGCCGGGCGACCAAAGUAGUUUGACCAUGUAGUCUAUGACUUAGCUUUACAUCAGGUUUCAGUUGCAAACGGAUGGAUGAUGAACAGUGCAUUUCCAAAUGGAAAUGAUUUUAAUAAGCCAAAAGAAACACCAUCUAGGUAUGAUGUUUUGCUUGUACUUUUACAGUUUUCCCAUUCCUUGGUAUGAAGGGUGACAAGGUAGCAUAUACGGUCGGUCACAGAUGACUUCCCUGAUAAUGCAAAAGUUUAUGUGAAAUCUUGGGCUACUUUCAUCGCUUGUUCGUAAUUUCGAUUUUGAAAUCAAUUCAUUUCACUGGAGCUGCUGUUGAUAAGUGAAUACGAUCUUUUCUCUACAAACUCACUGUUAAGUAUUUAUUUUUCUGUUUCUUCUAUUAAGAAUCUUUAUUUUAUUAAAUUCAUGAUAUGCUGGUUUUCUUUUUUCUGUUAAGGUAAUAAAGCAAUUUUGACUGUUCUACAGUCGAAGAAUAUUGGUCAGAUAAAAGUCUCACAUUCACAGAGGAGAGACCCAGUAUUACUAUUUUCUGGUGAUAUUCAGAUCCAAUGAGUGGGUACAGCACUACUCUUAUCCAUUGUGGCAAUUUUUGUUUCCAUACAACUGCCAUUCUAACAUAGCAAGAUUAAGAAAAAGGUAACAAAAAAAAACUUCAAGAAAGUUGGGAAGGUUAAUAGAAUCAGGCUAUUAUUUUUGACCAAUAAUUUGCAAUGUUGAUUGGUGGCUUCCGAUUGUUUCCUUUUGGUAAACAUCCAUCGCCCUCGAAGAGUUGUGGAUAUUCUACGCCUAGGAGUUACAAGCCCGUGAGAUCACCCCAGGAUACGUAUUUUUUCAUGGUUGAAAUUUAAUGUCAGCAUGUUAAAUGGAAAAGAAGAGUCUGUCGGAACGGUUUGCUUUUCUCAUCGAAAUCCACGAAACAUGUGUCAAUGCUCCAUUGUCAUUGCGACAAACGAUGGAUAAAACGGAAGGUUUAGACACGCAUCAUUGAACUGGUCCAUUUCGAAAAAAUAACUGCGUAUCAAAAUAUCGCCGUCAUAAAUUACUCUUGGUUCCAUAUGGGGGAUGCCUCUGUUUUGACCAUAGCUUUCCUGAAUCAAGCUUCAAUGAAUGGAAGAUGUCCGGCUUGCAAGAACGUCAACAUGAUUUGACCUGGCACAUCGAGCAUAGUUCUAAUCGUGCUGAUGGUCCAAUGUUUCACGAUAACUAAGAAAGCAAUAUGGAAGCGUGAAAUUAGUUAUAUGGAUGGUCACGUUCACCGCUAGUUGCUGCUCCGUCCCGAAGAUAAAAUAUUAAAAAUUUUUAUAAAUUUAAGUGCAUAUCUGGGCUCCCUUCUUUUCUGUGGCCCCGUUUCCCCUUGACUUAUGAUAAGCCCGCAGGGGGUCAUGCCCCUACUGUGAUCAGCAGCAA